rnacentral:rRNA from 1 species
GACGAACGCUGGCGGCGCGCCUAACACAUGCAAGUCGAACGGAGCUAUUUCGACAGAUCCCUUCGGGGUGACAUUGGCUUAGCUUAGUGGCGAACGGGUGAGUAACACGUGAGGAACCUGCCCUUCAGAGGGGGACAACAGUUGGAAACGACUGCUAAUACCGCAUGACGCUUCUUGGGGGCAUCCCUGAGAAGUCAAAGCUUUAUGUGCUGAAAGAUGGCCUCGCGUCUGAUUAGCUAGUUGGUGGGGUAACGGCCCACCAAGGCGACGAUCAGUAGCCGGUCUGAGAGGAUGAACGGCCACAUUGGGACUGAGAUACGGCCCAG